rnacentral:rRNA from 1 species
GACGAACGCUGGCGGCGUGCUUAACACAUGCAAGUCGAGCGAAGUUUUUCUGGUUCUUGCACUAGAAAGACUUAGCGGCGAGCGGGUGAGGAACACGUAAAGAACCUGCGCCAUAGACUGGGACAACUAUUGGAAACGAUAGCUAAUACCGGAUAACAGUAUUUCUCGCAUGAUAGUGAUUGAAAAGUUGGUUAUGCUAACACUAUGAGACGGCUUUGCGGUGCUGUAGGUAGUUGGUGGGGUAAAGGCCCACCAAGGCGACGAUGCGUAGCCGACAUGAGAGGGUGAGUGGCCACACUGGGACUGAGACACGGCACAGACUACUACAGGAGGGGGCAGUACGGAAUCUUCCGCAAUGGGCGGGGACCUGGCGUAACAACGCCGCGUGAGUGAAGGAGGAAUUCUGUUCGUAAAGCUCUGUUUUUAGGGAAGAAUAGAUAUGUAAUUACUGUACAUGUAAGUGACGGUACCUAAUGAAAAAGCCACGGCUAACUACGUG